rnacentral:rRNA from 1 species
UCGCGGCCUACAGCUUGUUGGUAAGGUAACGGCUUACCAAGGCUAAGACGGGUAGCUGGUCUGAGAGGAUGAUCAGCCACACUGGGACUGAGACACGGCCCAGACUCCUACGGGAGGCAGCAGUGGGGAAUAUUGGACAAUGGGCGCAAGCCUGAUCCAGCCACGCCGCGUGAGUGAUGAAGGUUUUCGGAUCGUAAAACUCUGUCCUGAGGGAAGAACAUCCUAGGUUCAAAUAGGUCCUAGGCUUGACGGUACCUCUGGAGGAAGCACCGGCUAACUCCGUGCCAGCAGCCGCGGUAAAACGGAGGGUGCAAACGUUGCUCGGAAUUACUGGGCGUAAAGCGCAUGCAGGCGGACUGUUAAGUUUCGUGUGAAAGCCCUGGGCUCAACCCAGGAAGUGCACGGAAAACUGGCAGACUAGAGUACUAGAGAAGUGGGCGGAAUUCCGGGUGUAGAGGUGAAAUUCGUAGAUAUCCGGAGGAACACCAGUAGCGAAAGCGGCUCACUAGAUAGAUACUGACGCUCAGAUGCGAAAGCGUGGGUAGCAAACAGGAUUAGAUACCCUGGUAGUCCACGCCGUAAACGAUGGGCACUAGGUGUCGGGGGUUUGACCCCUUCGGCGCCGUAGCUAACGCGUUAAGUGCCCCGCCUGGGGAGUACGGAAUCGUCGAC